GACGAACGCUGGCGGCGUGCUUAACACAUGCAAGUCGAACGAGUGGCGAACGGGUGAGUAAUACGUGAGUAACCUGCCCUCUUUUUGGGAUAAGCCUUGGAAACGGGGUCUAAUACCGAAUAAAGGGGGAUGGGCUCGCGGCCUAUCAGCUUGUUGGUGGGGUGAUGGCCUACCAAGGCGGUGACGGGUAGCCGGCCUGAGAGGGUGACCGGCCACAUUGGGACUGAGACACGGCCCAGACUCCUACGGGAGGCAGCAGUGGGGAAUGUUGGACAAUGGGGGAAACCCUGAUCCAGCCAUCCCGCGUGUAUGAUGAAGGCCUUCGGGUUGUAAAGUACUUUUGGCAGAGAAGCGGUAUCUGCAGAAUAAGCACCGGCUAACUACGUGCCAGCAGCCGCGGUAAUUC
rnacentral:rRNA from 1 species